rnacentral:rRNA from 1 species
AGCAGCCGCGGUAAUUCCAGCUCCAAUAGCGUAUAUUAAAGUUGUUGCAGUUAAAAAGCUCGUAGUUGAAUUUCGGGGUCAAUACGUCGGUCGUGCCUCGGUACGCACUAACGUUAUUGAUUCCUCCCUUCUGACGAACCGUGAUGUCAUUAAUUUGGUGUUGCGGGGAAUCAGGACUGUUACCUUGAAAAAAUUAGAGUGUUUAAAGCAGGCAAUCGCUCGAAUACAUUAGCAUGGAAUAAUGAAAUAGGACGUUCGAACCUAUUUUGUUGGUUUCUAGGAUCGACGUAAUGAUUAAUAGGGAUAGUUGGGGGCAUUAGUAUUCAAUUGUCAGAGGUGAAAUUCUUGGAUUUAUUGAAGACUAACUACUGCGAAAGCAUUUGCCAAGGAUGUUUUCAUUAAUCAAGAACGAAAGUUAGGGGAUCGAAGACGAUCAGAUACCGUCGUAGUCUUAACCAUAAACUAUGCCGACUAGGGAUCGGAUGAUGUUAAUUUUUUAAUGACUCAUUCGGCGCCUUACG